rnacentral:rRNA from 1 species
AGUGAACGCUGGCGGCAGGCCUAAUACAUGCAAGUCGAACGGCAGCACAGUGGCGCUUGCUCCAUGGGUGGCGAGUGGCGGACGGGUGAGGAAUACAUGGGAAUCUGCCCAGUCGUGGGGGAUAACGUAGGGAGACUUACGCUAAUACCGCAUGCGCCCUUCGGGGGAAAGCCGGGGACCUUCGGGCCUUGCGCGUUUGGAUGAGCCCAUGUUCGAUUAGCUAGUUGGCGGGGUAAAGGCCCACCAAGGCGACGAUCGAUAGCUGGUCUGAGAGGAUGAUCAGCCACACUGGGACUGAGACACGGCCCAGACUCCUACGGGAGGUAGCAGUAGGGAAUAUUGGACAAUGGGCGCAAGCCUGAUCCAGCCAUGCCGCGUGAGUGAAGAAGGCCCUCGGGUUGUAAAGCUCUUUUGUCCGGGAAGAAAAGCAUCAGGCUAAUACCUCGGUGUUCUGACGGUACCGGAAGAAUAAGCACCGGCUAACUUCGUG